rnacentral:rRNA from 1 species
GAUGAACGCUGGCGGCGUGCCUAAUACAUGCAAGUCGAGCGAACGGACGAGAAUCUUGCUUCUCUGAUGUUAGCGGCGGACGGGUGAGUAACACGUGGAUAACCUACCUAUAAGACUGGGCUAACUUCGGGCAACCGGAGCUACUACCUGAAAAUAUUUUUAACCGCAUGGUUCAAAAGUGUAAGACGGUCUUGCUGUCACUUAUAGAUGGAUCCGCGCUGCAUUAGCUAGUUGGUAAGGUAACGGCUUACCAAGGCAACGAUGCAUAGCCGACCUGAGAGGGUGAUCGGCCACGCGGGAACUGAGACACGGUCCAGACUCCGACGGGAGGCAGCAGUAGGGAAUCUACCGCAAUGGGCGAAAGCCUGACGGAGCAACGCAGCGUGAGUGAUGAAGGUGUGCGAGUCGUAAAACGCUGUGAUUAGGGAAGAACAUAUGUGUAAGUAACUGUGCACAUCUUGACGGUACCUAAUCAGAAAGCCACGGCUAACUACGUG